CAAAUACCAUGACAACCACCACUACGAUUACCACCGGAACCUUGGGUUACGGUGCGGGCUGACGCAUAUAUAUAACAACCACAAGCCCGUAUCCCACAAGAUACGGGCUUUUUUUUG
rnacentral:sRNA from 1 species